CUACCGGGGUAUCUAAUCCCGUUUGCUCCCCUGGCUUUCGCGCCUCAGCGUCAGUUGUCGUCCAGAAAGCCGCUUUCGCCACCGGUGUUCCUCCUAAUAUCUACGCAUUUCACCGCUACACUAGGAAUUCCGCUUUCCUCUCCGACACUCUCAGCUGUCCAGUUUCCAUCCUCUCACGGGGUUUAGCCCCGCACUUUCUAGACAGACUUACACAGCCGCCUGCGCGCCCUUUACGCCCAAUCAUUCCGGACAACGCUUGCCACCUACGUAUUACCGCGGCUGCUGGCAC
rnacentral:rRNA from 1 species